GUCCUUCUGCCUUCUGCCAUGGGAUGACACAGCAAGAAGCCCCUUGCCAGAUGUGGGCCUCUCGACCUUGGACUUCUUAGCUUCCAGAACUAGGAGCCAUUGAAGAAUACUGUUGUCCUAUCCCAGAAGGAGCAAGCGGACAACACUGAUAUCCUGACCACUAACCAUCCAGCACCACUUAAAGCCACACUCUCCUCUUUGGUCUUUCCUGGUACGCAGCAUACAAGCCCACAGAUUGAGGACUCUGCACUUGCUGUUCUCUCUGCCUGGAGCUCUAUGGCUCCAGAUAGACUCCUGCCAACUCCUUCGCCUUGUCCAAGUUACCUUCAUUAAAUGUCAGCUUAAAUGUGUGCCUACUUUUUGCCCUACCUAGAAUUGCAAGCACCUCUCACCACUGUGCUCCCAUUCUCCUUAACUUCAGCCACUUUUAUUCUCAUAAUAAAGCCACAUAUUUUUUCUUAUUAUAUCAUAAUCGUACUGUAUAAUUUAUAUUUUAUUACUUUUGUUUGUAUACUUAUUGUAUGUUUCUGUUCACAAGGAUGUAAACCCCAUGAACACAGAGAUCUUUGAUUGUUUUAUUCACUGAUUUAUGCCAAAUGUUUGGAACAAUGCCUGGCACAUAGUAGAUGUUUGAUAAAUUUUUUUUUUCUGAAUGAAUAAAUACAUUUUAGCCAAAUAUGCUGA
rnacentral:lncRNA from 1 species